GAUGAACGCUGGCGGCGUGCUUAACACAUGCAAGCCGAACGAAGCACUUUAUUUGAUUUCCUUCGGGACUGAUUAUUUUGUGACUGAGUGGCGGACGGGUGAGUAACGCGUGGGUAACCUGCCUUGUACAGGGGGAUAACAGUUGGAAACGGCUGCUAAUACCGCAUAAGCGCACGGCAUCGCAUGAUGCAGUGUGAAAAACUCCGGUGGUAUAAGAUGGACCCGCGUUGGAUUAGCUAGUUGGUGAGGUAACGGCCCUCCAAGGCGACGAUCCAUAGCCGACCUGAGAGGGUGACCGGCCACAUUGGGACUGAGACACGGCCCAAACUCCUACGGGAGGCAGCAGUGGGGAAUAUUGCACAAUGGGCGAAAGCCUGAUGCAGCGACGCCGCGUGAGCGAAGAAGUAUUUCGGUAUGUAAAGCUCUAUCAGCAGGGAAGAUAAUGACGGUACCUGACUAAGAAGCACCGGCUAAAUACGUG
rnacentral:rRNA from 1 species